rnacentral:rRNA from 1 species
GACAGAGGUCCCGAGCGUUAGGCGGAAUCACUGGGCUUAAAGCGUGUGUAGGCGGAUUUGUAAGUACCUUGUGAAAUCCCACGGCUUAACCGUGGAACUGCUUGGUAUACUGCUUAUCUUGGGCCACUUAGGGGUUACCGGAACAAACGGUGGAGCGGUGAAAUGCGUAGAUAUCGUUUGGAACGCCAAUGGUGAAAACAGGUUGCUGGGAGUGUGCUGACGCUGAGACACGAAAGCCAGGGGAGCGAACGGG